GUCUCUCUUUGAUUUCGAUUGACCGCACCCUAGUAAUGAGUGUGCCAACAGAUUUCAAUUCAACCGUCAAAUGAAACAAUUCGCAUUGAAUCUCAGAUUGCAGCCACUUCUAAUGAUAUCUAAUUAUGUAUGUUAUGCAGGUAAUACUAUAUACAAACCUUGGUAAACUUAAAACUAAAUCAAAAGUAAUUGAAACUCUAGUCAAACGACAAACAAAUCACUAGUUUUAGAUCGAGGGCUGAACGUUAGAGUCAAAGAAACAGUUAUGCAAAAAGAAACACCGGCGCAUCUCACACUAGUUUCGAUCGCCAUUGGAGUCAAAGUCUGGCUAACAGAAGUGGCGCGGCAGAAUAACAUAACAUGAGUUUCCACCGCCCCGUUUGAGUCAAGUCUGGCUAACAGAAGCGGCGCGGCAGAAUAACAUAACAUGAGGUAAGGAUUAAACCUUGUAAUAAUGCUGGCAAUAAUCUUAUGUUCACAUAGAAUCCAUGAUGACAUAGAGAAUUAACAUAUUUUUGUUUGUCGUUAGUUUUGAAUCAGGAACAUAAAUCGAUGCGAAGAGACUUUUGGACAUGAAUCGAAAAAAAAAA